CCGCGGAUCAAUAUUUGCUUUCAGCUGAGCCAGGCUGUGUAAAUGAAACUAAACUCCCCAGUCCAGGGAGCCUCAGCGCUGCCCCAGAGCCCAGCCACAGGCAUGGACAGAGCUGGCAGAGAGGUCGGGGACGGGCAGCAGGAAGCACAAAGGGCCAGCUAGAGGCCCCAACCCCACUCCCACCUUUCUCAGAUUUUAGAUUCUAAAGGAUUGGCAACAGCGUGAUUUGUGGGAGCCGCCAUGGAUAUAAACCAUCACGGGCUUGGCCCCACUGUCACGAAUGUCUGAAAGAAGAGGAGGUUAAACACAGGACUCUGCCAGGAGGGUGGACCGCAGGGGAGAGGAACAACACCAGCUGCCAGGACCUGCGGAGGGGUAGCGCUGCAGCCAUGCCCAGGCCAGCUAGGGCCUGGGCAUCUCACCCAGGACAAAUGGAGCCCAGCCCGCCACAGGCCACGCCGUCACCAGCCCUCCAGGAUUCCCAGAGACCUUGCGGGCCCAAUCCUGGCGGUGCCAGAUCCCGGCACUGCUUCUCCCACCAGGCCAGCUGCCCCAGGUGGGUCAGGGCUCUGCAGGCACAGGCCAUGAGUGGGCACUCAAAGGGAUUCCUGGGCUUUCCCUGGAGAGGGAUCUUGCUGUAUGUCACUCAGCACUGGGCCCAUCCAGGGGCUCCUUCCCCAGCAGCCUGACAGGGAGCGUCCUGCGUGCACAAGGGGCUGCAGGAGCCUGCAAACAGCCCAGGCCGGUGGCUAGCUGAGUCCUGGAAGCUGGCAUUGCUUUGGGAAGGGGAGAGAUGUGCAGGACCUGGGGCAGGUGGAGGGAGAUCACUGCUUGCAUUUCUGACCUCGCCAUGGAAAGGCAGGAAUCCCUCUGUCUCUUGCCAUGUCCCCCUAGCUCUACCCCCAGUGCCCAGACAGACCAUGGCAAUGAGGGGCAGACAGACUGACCAGAUGGGCACAGGGAACGGGGGAGAUGGAGGAGCAGGGAAUGAGGGGAAUACAGGAGAGUGGGGACUGGACUAGGUCCUGAGGAAUGGAGUGUCAAUGGAGGGGGUGCUGGACAGUGAGGGGUCAUGGGGGGGGGCGCUAGACGCUGAGGGCCUAUGGGGGAGGGGAGGCAUCAGGUGCCCUCUCUUCUGUCUGUGAACAUCUCAACGGAAGGUCCUGCUGCACCCCCAGCCCUGCCCCUGGUGUUCUGCCAAAGAAGCAGGCACUGGAGCCCCUCCACCUCUGGCUGCAGACCCCACACUCCUUAUGCUUGGCCUCAGCAUCUCUCUCGCUCCCCUCAGCGGGCGCUGGGGGUCUGGCACAGGUAGGUCAGCCCUUUGCUGACUCCUGCCCUGUUUUCUGACUCCCGAGGCAAUGCCUGAAGGGGCCAGUGCCAGCCAUUGGCAAUGCUUUUGCGCUGGCUGAGCAGAGGGCACACAGCCAGUGUCACAGGCCUGCCUCCGCCACCAGGCCUAGCCUUCUGACCACAGCAUCCCCUGAGGCUGGGACCCGCUUCUCUAUAACUGUUAAUUCGACUACCUCCCCUGGCUUUCCCUUCUGAGUGCCAGCAGCCGAGAGCCCCUGCAGACGCACACUGAUCCCAGGCCAGGCAGGCUCAAUUCUGAGCAAGACAAACCUUCCAACACCUUCAGCAGGACAGGGGCCCACAGGGUCAGUGAGACAUGGGCAGCGGCACUGGUUGGCCAUGGACCCCACUGGGCUAUCAUCCAUGCAUUGGGCCUGGGGCCUUGGUCUCUCCUUUGGAUGGCUGCCCUGGUGAGAGAGAUGACGUUUCAUACCCCAGGCUGGCAGCACACAGACAGGGCAGCAUCACCCCAGGCCAGAGGGCUGAUGGGGCUCAGAUGGGUCUGCUAACUUCGGCUCAUUAAGCCUCUGGUUCUGGGUUCUCUGGGGAGCCAAGCUGGCUGCUGCCCCAGGCACCUACAAGCAAGUCCUUCCCAGCACUCCUGACAGACGCAGGGGCACCUGGCACUGUGCAGGCAAGGCCAGCGCACUCAGGCUAACCAACCUCCCUCAUCUGGUCCAUCCCCACCCCCAUCUUCCCGGGGGAACCUGGGUGAGUCAUGGCUCUUUUCCCUAGAAGGGGCCUACAGGUCAGUAUGCCUAUGAGAAGAGCAUUUCCUGAGGCUACAAACAGAGCCCACCUAUUAGCCCUCUACAGGUGGCCAUAAGUGUCCCCUCUCUUCAGGCCCAGGGACUCCUUGGUUGGCUGGGUCUGAUUCCCCUUUGAGCAGACGGCGCCUAGGCAGGUCUAAAGGCCCCCGGAGGGAAGUUCUCAGGCUUCCAGCCUUGACUUGGGAAUGCAUUUGGUAUCUAGCUUAGAUCUCUUGCUAAGGAAUUUACCAUCCCCCUUGACCACACUCCCACACACCGUGCUGGGCAGGGCCAGGACAUCCCCCCCAUCGCACAUCUGGAGGCAGAGGCCUGGAGCAGCCCAGGGUCACGCAGGGAGACUGUGGCACGGCCAGCCUUGAACCAGGUCUCCUGAAUCCCAAGGUGGCUCCUUAACGACUAGACAAAGCAGUCCUUCUCUGAUGCUGCGAUUUGCUUUGUCAGCCACUCAAAGCACACAAACCUCUCAAGCCCUGACCGAAGGCUGGGAAGACAGCAGCAUACAGGAAAUGGCCAAAGAGGCUCCUAGCCCGAACUCCAGUUGUUGGAAUGGCCUUUUGGUGGCUGCAGCUGGAGUCAGAACUCUGAGGGUGAAAGCCCAGAACUACCAUCAAAGCAGCGUGUCCACAGCCUGUCAGGUUCAUUGGGGUGGUUUAAUUAUGUCGAGGGGAGAGCGCUCUCCCGCCGGCAUAGAGCGGCUACCCAGGAGACCUUACAGCAGUGCAACUGUAAGAUCCAUAGUACAGACGUAGCCUAAGGGGACUGUCUGUGACUUCAUGGUAAGACUGUUAUAAGACUGAUCCAGGGGUUCACACUUGUUACUGGCUUGGUGAAAUCUAAUGAUAGAACAUAGCGCCAGCUUGGGGUGCCUGCCCUGUUUCUGACAGUCUGCCCGGAGGUGGGCACUUGUGGCCAUGAGCCACUCCAGACAGCGUGACAAGCGUGACUUCCAGAAAAGAGAUCAGGAGAUGGAGCAUCCUGUUCCCACUGGGAGUUUGUUUCAGUGGUUAAUCACCCUCGCUGUUACAAAUCUCCA